GUUGUCUGUGUGGUUUACAAGUUUCUUGGCGAUAUGGGGGAAAAGUUCCUCACAUACCAACGGAAAAUGGGCGUCAUAUACAUGCAGUCACACAGGGGUUCCAAGACCCACCGGCGUAAAAUCAAGUCAAAGGCUGCUGUCUCAUAAUAUGGCGAAGACGAGUCACCUGAAGGCCUAACUCGCCAUAGAAGACUGAAAGAAUUGUCCUGCAGGAUGCUGUGUCCUGCAAUCCUGUGUACUGUGCUACAGACGCAUGUGGAGGUCAACCCAAAAUGGGCACAGUCUCACCGCAGAAGAGUGAAAGAGGAUCCUGGCAGGGAGACGGUAGUGUCCUGCAGAAUGGUGAUGGGCCAAUCUUACAAGAGACCACAGAAAACUGAUAUAGUGAACUAUAGAAACAACAGUGCCUGCUGCAGUAUAAUGAGGACACCCUGAGCAGAGAGCUCCAAUAGACCCAGGUCCAGUGUCUUGGCAGGGUGAAAUGGCACUGAUAUGGUGUCCUGCAGGAUGCUGUGUCCUGCAAUCCUGUGUGCUGUGCUACAGACGCGUGUGGAGGUCAACCCAAAAUGGGCACAGUCUCACCACAGAAGAGUGAAAGAGGUAUCACCGCGGAAGGGCCUCUGCUACAUGGCGAAGAAAAAAAUAGGUCUUUGGCAUUUUAGGGAUAAGAAACGAGCGGAGGUGUCCCAUCCUGUGGCUGGUGAGGAGAAGAGGACGGGAGAAUCUUAUCCCAAUUGUGGUCAAGCAUGUGCGUCCAGGAGCCACCCUGAUCAGUGAUGAGUGGCGAGCAUACAGAGGCGCAUUAGCUGCCAUUGGCUACACUCACUUCACUGUUAACCAUUCAAGAUGGUUUGUUGAUCCAAACAGUGGGGCCCAUACACAGCACCUUGAGAGGGGUUACUGCCACACUUAUUGUGUGUGUGUGUGUGUGUGUGUGUGUGUGUGUGUGUGUGUGUGUGUGUGUGUGUGUGUGUGUGUGUGUGUGUGUGUGUGUGAGACAAUAUGUGAAGGCCUAUGACUUGCUUUCAUAAUAAUAAAAAGUUAUUGCUCUC